rnacentral:rRNA from 1 species
UACAGAGGGGGCAAGCGUUGUUCGGAAUUACUGGGCGUAAAGGGCGCGUAGGCGGCCUUUUAAGUCAGACGUGAAAUCCCUCGGCUCAACCGGGGAACUGCGUCUGAGACUGGAAGGCUUGAAUCCGGGAGAGGGAUGUGGAAUUCCAGGUGUAGCGGUGAAAUGCGUAGAUAUCAGGAGGAACACCGAUGGCGAAGGCAGGUCUCUGGGCCACUACUGACGCUGAGAAGCGAAAGCAUGGGGAGCGAACAGG